GACGUAGGGCGCGAGCGUUGUCCGGAUUUAUUGGGCGUAAAGAGCUCGUAGGCGGCUUGUCGCGUCGACUGUGAAAACCCGGGGCUCAACUCCGGGCCUGCAUUCGAUACGGGCAGACUAGAGUUCGGUAGGGGAGACUGGAAUUCCUGGUGUAGCGGUGAAAUGCGCAGAUAUCAGGAGGAACACCGGUGGCGAAGGCGGGUCUCUGGGCCGAUACUGACGCUGAGGAGCGAAAGCGUGGGGAGCGAACAGG
rnacentral:rRNA from 1 species